rnacentral:lncRNA from 9 species
CUCGAGCCUCCAGCCUGGGCACCACUCCCCGUGUGGCAAUGGAAGCGUGCUGGUGCCGUGCCGGCCCCAGGGCUGUCUUUCUGGAGGGUCUUCCCCUUUGUGCCAGGCUGUUUCUCUCCCAACAGGAUGCAGCAGAGCCCUUCCGAGCUCAGCUCAGGGAAACCUGGAUCACAGCCCACCUUUCCCAGCCUGAAUCCUACGGGGCUAUGCCACUUCCACCUGGGGACUCAGGAAGCGAGACAAAGGAAAAGAAAAAAGGAGUUUGUUUUCAUGGGCAUAGCCUCACAGAAGGCUUUCAUACGCAAGAAAAAUACGCAAGAUGAAAAAAGCGCACUCAUAGGAGGGACCCUGGCUGUACUUGAAAGUGCUAAGGAAACCCUCGCUCUCUGUGGAGAAGUCACAUUUUCCUCAUUACUGGUACAAGACAGUCUCCAGGGGCUACUGGGUAGGUUCAUGGGGGGACCAGGUGUAAAAGUGCCGCCAGGAGUUCCCCCAGGGCCCAGGGGGUUAAGAAUCC